AUUGAACGCUGGCGGCAUGCCUUACACAUGCAAAUCGAACGGUAACGGGCCUUCGGUUGCCGACGAGUGGCGAACGGGUGCGGAAUACAUCGGAACGUGCCCCAUCGUGGUGGAAAACGGGUCGAAAGCUGAGCUAAUACCUCAUACGAUCUACGGUUGAAAGCCGGGGACCGCAAGGCCUUGCGCGGACGUAGCUGCCGAUGGCGGAUUAGCUAGCGGGGAAGGUAAUAGCUUACCAAGCCAACGAUCCGUAGGCGACCGGAGAGGAUGAUCGGCCACACUGGAACUGAGACACGGUCCAGACUCCUACGGGAGGCAGCAGUAGGGAAUUUUCCGCAAGGGGCGAAAGCUUGACGGAGCAAUGCCGCGUGAGGGAUGAAGGCCUUCGGAUUGUAAACUGCUGUUAUGAGGGACGAACAAAUGUGUAAGAAACCAGGCACGUCAUGACGGUACCGAAUCAGAAAGCACCGGCUAACUACGUG
rnacentral:rRNA from 1 species